rnacentral:rRNA from 1 species
GUAGAUGGCAAGCGUUGUCCGGAAUUAUUGGGCGUAAAGCGCGCGCAGGCGGUUCUUUAAGUCUGAUGUGAAAGCCCACGGCUCAACCGUGGAGGGUCAUUGGAAACUGGAGAACUUGAGUACAGAAGAGGAAAGCGGAAUUCCACGUGUAGCGGUGAAAUGCGUAGAGAUGUGGAGGAACACCAGUGGCGAAGGCGGCUUUCUGGUCUGUAACUGACGCUGAGGCGCGAAAGCGUGGGGGGAGCAAACAGGAUUAGAUACCCUGGUAGUCCACGCCGUAAACGAUGAGUGCUAAGUGUUAGGGGGUUUCCGCCCCCCCCUUAGUGCUGCAGCUAACGCAUUAAGCACUCCGCCUGGGAGUACGGCCGCAAGGCUG